rnacentral:rRNA from 1 species
UGGGGAAUCUUGCGCAAUGGGCGAAAGCCUGACGCAGCGACGCCGCGUGCGGGAGGAAGCUCUUCGGGGUGUAAACCGCUGUCGGGGGGGAAGAACGGGCCGGGGAGGCAAUGCCCCGGUUUUGACGGUACCCCCAGAGGAAGCACCGGCUAACUCUGUGCCAGCAGCCGCGGUAAUACAGAGGGUGCGAGCGUUGUUCGGAAUUACUGGGCGUAAAGCGCGCGCAGGCGGCCUUUUAAGUCUGACGGUGAAAUGCCGGGGCUCAACCCCGUGCCCGCCGGAGAUACUGGGAGGCUGGAGACGAGUAGAGGCAAGCGGAAUUCCGGGUGUAGCGGUGGAAUGCGUAGAGAUCCGGAAGAACACCGGAGGCGAAGGCGGCUUGCUGGGCUCAUGUCUGACGCUGAGGCGCGAAAGCGUGGGGAGCGAACAGG